UGAUAAGCUGCGCGUGACCACAUAUGAGUUUCAGCGCAAGAAUACACGGGUCCUCCUUAAAUCGGAAACGUGUUUUGCGGGAUUUCCUCGCAACGACUUCGCCUCUGAGUCGGGGAAACCACUCGCGCUUUCAGCCGGGUGCCCUUCCCCCUCCUCUAUCUCAGCUCGGGGGGAGGGGGAAGCCCCCUCCUUUCCGCGGGUCUCCAGUAAGCUAUCUGCCUUGUUGUGAAGUAGGCUACUAUACGAAUUCAUGCAAAGGAGAGCGGCGGUUGUCCGCGGGAUUGCGAGAAAACGCAUAACAACAACAACAGCAACAACAAUCCGUGCACAUCGUUAACAGGGGGGUCUUGCACAGAAGAUAAUAAACGCACGCCGGAGGAGACCGCGGGGACUGAAAUGACCCCUUGCAUCCCAGAUUCCUGGAGAAAUCGCGUGCUCUAUCAUGGAACGCGAAGCAGCCCUCGCGCGAGGGAACCACGUUUUGUGGAACGCAGAAGCCCAGGAGAGCCUUGUGCGAGUCUCAUGCAUUCUGAGCUCAACCCCACGGUGGGCCCAUUUAAUCCCUCCACAAAUGUCCUGACGGCAAUAAAAUGAUGUUUAAAAAGAUCAGCGGCUCAGAGCCUUUUCAUGCCCCCCGCUCGAUUUAGUCACUGAGGCACUGAUAAAGCACCCGUCCCAGCUGGAAAGGAGGGGUGACUCUGCUGGGGGACACUGUACAGGAGGAGGUGACUCUGCUGGGGGACACUGUACAGGAGGAGGUGAUUCUGCUGGGGGACACUGUACAGGAGGAGGUGACUCUGCUGGGGGACACUGUACAGGAGGAGGUGAUUCUGCUGGGGACACUGUACAGGAGGAGGUGACUCUGCUGGGGACACUGUACAGGAGGAGGUGACUCUGCUGGGGGACACUGUACAGGAGGAGGUGACUCCGCUGGGGGACACUACAAGAGGACUCUGCAGUGAUACUGCUGGGGACACUGUGCAGGAG